GACAAUGGGCGCAAGCCUGAUCCAGCCAUGCCGCGUGAGUGAUGAAGGCCCUAGGGUCGUAAAGCUCUUUCGCCUGUGAUGAUAAUGACAGUAGCAGGUAAAGAAACCCCGGCUAACUCCGUGCCAGCAGCCGCGGUAAUACGGAGGGGGUUAGCGUUGUUCGGAAUUACUGGGCGUAAAGCGCGCGUAGGCGGGUUGUUAAGUUAGAGGUGAAAUCCCGGGGCUCAACCCCGGAACUGCCUUUAAUACUGGCAACCUAGAGUUCGAGAGAGGUGAGUGGAAUUCCGAGUGUAGAGGUGAAAUUCGUAGAUAUUCGGAGGAACACCAGUGGCGAAGGCGGCUCACUGGCUCGAUACUGACGCUGAGGUGCGAAAGUGUGGGGAGCAAACAGGAUUAGAUACCCUGGUAGUCCACACCGUAAACGAUGAAUGCCAGUCGUCGGGUAGCAUGCUAUUCGGUGACACACCUAACGGAUUAAGCAUUCCGCCUGGGGGGACUUU
rnacentral:rRNA from 1 species